rnacentral:rRNA from 1 species
UACAGAGGGUGCGAGCGUUGUCCGGAAUCACUGGGCGUAAAGGGCGCGUAGGUGGCGUCGCAAGUCCGUGGUGAAAGCUCGUCGCUCAACGGCGAGUCGGCCACGGAUACUGCGAGGCUCGAGCACUGUAGAGGCAGAUGGAAUUCCGGGUGUAGCGGUGGAAUGCGUAGAGAUCCGGAAGAACACCGGUGGCGAAGGCGGUCUGCUGGGCAGUAGCUGACACUGAGGCGCGACAGCGUGGGGAGCAAACAGG